CCAAGCGGCAUACCCCUUCCUGGCCGACUCCACUGGACGCUGCGCUUGCUACUCGUCAGUCUCACUGUAGGAUUCACUGCGGCACAGCCUUAUUAACAAAAUGAAAAAAGAAAGGUUGCUUCUUAUGCAUCUGCCAGAAGUUCAGCAAAACAAGGAAAACUAUGGCAAAGGUGGUGGACGAAAGCGAAAGGAAAAACGCCAACGCAGUGACUGUAUUCAAAAAUAAAAAAGGACCAUGGUUCCACAUCAUGACGUAGAAGGUACCGACAACUGUGCAGACCACGUAGAGAUUAUGGCUGCUGAAUGCUCCAAGGCUGCAACAGAUGUGAA